CCCGCUGAACUUAAGCAUAUCAAUAAGCGGAGGAAAAGAAACUAACAAGGAUUCCCCUAGUAACGGCGAGUGAAGCGGGAAGAGCUCAAAUUUGAAAGCUGGCGCCUUCGGCGUCCGCAUUGUAAUCUCGAGAGUUGUUUUCCGUGCUGGACCAUGUACAAGUUCCUUGGAAUAGGACGUCAUAGAGGGUGAGAAUCCCGUACUUGACAUGGCCGCCCAGUGCUUUGUGAUACAACCUCAACGAGUCGAGUUGUUUGGGAAUGCAGCUCAAAAUGGGUGGUAAAUUCCAUCUAAAGCUAAAUAUUGGGGAGAGACCGAUAGCGAACAAGUACCGUGAGGGAAAGAUGAAAAGCACUUUGGAAAGAGAGUUAAACAGUACGUGAAAUUGUCAAAAGGGAAGCGCUUGAAGUUAGUUAUGCUUGCUGGGACUCAGCCUUGCUUUUGCUUGGUGCAUCUCCUAGUAUGCAGGUCAGCAUCGGUUUUGUCUGCUGGAUAAGGGUAGAAGGAACGUGGCACCCUCGGGUGUGUUAUAGCCUCUUACUGGAUACAGCGGACGGGACCGAGGAACGCAGCGCGCCUCACGGCGGACCUUCGGGUACCUUCGCGCUUAGGAUGCUGGCGUAAUAGCUUUAAGCGGCCCGUCUUGAAACACGG
rnacentral:rRNA from 1 species